GUACAUGUACGUUGUUACUGAUCUGAGAGGAGAGGGACCCAUGCUUUCGGUAGUGGGAGCGUACACAGGUGCUGCAUGGCUGUCGUCAGCUCGUGUCGUGAGAUGUUGGGUUAAGUCCCGCAACGAGCGCAACCCUGCAUCCAGUUGCCAUCGGGCGAGCCGGGCACUCUGGAGGGACUGCCGGCGACAAGCCGGAGGAAGGUGGGAUGACGUCAAGUCAUCAUGGCCCUUAUGUCCAGGGCGACACACGUGCUACAAUGGCCGGCACAGCGGGAAGCGGAGGGGCGACCCUGGGCGGAUCCCUUGAAAGCCGGUCCCAGUUCGGAUUGCAGUCUGCAACUCGACUGCAUGAAGUUGGAAUCGCUAGUAAUCGCGGAUCAGCCAAGCCGCGGUGAAUACGUUCCCGGGCCUU
rnacentral:rRNA from 1 species